rnacentral:rRNA from 1 species
AUGAACGCUGGCGGCGUGCCUAAUACAUGCAAGUCGAUCGAACAGACGAGGAGCUUGCUCCUCUGACGUUAGCGGCGGACGGGUGAGUAACACGUGGAUAACCUACCUAUAAGACUGGGAUAACUUCGGUAAACCGGAGCUAAUACCGGAUAAUAUAUUGAACCGCAUGGUUCAAUAGUGAAAGACGGUUUUGCUGUCACUUAUAGAUGGAUCCGCGCCGCAUUAGCUAGUUGGUAAGGUAACGGCUUACCAAGGCAACGAUGCGUAGCCGACCUGAGAGGGUGAUCGGCCACACUGGAACUGAGACACGGUCCAGACUCCUACGGGAGGCAGCAGUAGGGAAUCUUCCGCAAUGGGCGAAAGCCUGACGGAGCAACGCCGCGUGAGUGAUGAAGGUCUUCGGAUCGUAAAACUCUGUUAUUAGGGAAGAACAAAUGUGUAAGUAACUAUGCACGUCUUGACGGUACCUAAUCAGAAAGCCACGGCUAACUACGUG